UUGUGCCUACGGGGGGCAGCAGUGGGGAAUAUUGCACAAUGGGGGAAACCCUGAUGCAGCGACGCCGCGUGAGCGAAGAAGUAUUUCGGUAUGUAAAGCUCUAUCAGCAGGGAAGAAAAUGACGGUACCUGAGUAAGAAGCUCCGGCUAAAUACGUGCCAGCAGCCGCGGUAAUACGUAGGUGGCAAGCGUUGUUCGGAAUAACUGGGCGUAAAGGAUGCGUAGGCGGUUAAACAAGUUAUAUGUUAAAUAUAUAGGCUUAACCUGUAGAAAGCAUAUAAAACUGUUUAACUAGAGUGCAGGAGG
rnacentral:rRNA from 1 species